rnacentral:rRNA from 1 species
GUCCACGCCCUAAACGAUGAUGACUAGUUGUUGGAGGAGUUAAAUCCUUUAGUAACGCAGCUAACGCGUGAAGUCAUCCGCCUGGGGAGUACGGUCGCAAGAUUAAAACUCAAAGGAAUUGACGGGGGCCCGCACAAGCGGUGGAUGAUGUGGUUUAAUUCGAUGCAACGCGAAAAACCUUACCUACCCUUGACAUGCUAGGAACGCUGCAGAAAUGCAGCGGUGCCCGAAAGGGAACCUAGACACAGGUGCUGCAUGGCUGUCGU